rnacentral:rRNA from 1 species
GAUGUUCGGUUAAGUCCGCUAACGAGCGCAACCCUCGCUGUGUGUUACAAGUGUCACACGGAACUGCCGGUCAUAAACCGAGGAAGUGGGAUGACGUCAAGUCAGCAUGGCCUUUAUAUCCUGGGCUACACACACGCUACAAUGGGAAGGGACAAUAGGUUGCGAAGCCGCGAGGCGGAGCCAAUCCAGCAAAACUUCCCUCAGUUCAGAUUGCAGGCUGCAACUCGCCUGCAUGAAGUUGGAGUUGCUAGUAAACGCAGGUCAGCUAUACUGCGUUGAAUACGUUCCCGGGUUU